rnacentral:rRNA from 1 species
AUUGAACGCUGGCGGAAUGCUUUACACAUGCAAGUCGAACGGCAGCACGGACUUCGGUCUGGUGGCGAGUGGCGAACGGGUGAGUAAUACAUCGGAACGUGCCCAGUCGUGGGGGAUAACGUAGCGAAAGCUACGCUAAUACCGCAUACGAUCUAAGGAUGAAAGCGGGGGAUCGCAAGACCUCGCGCGAUUGGAGCGGCCGAUGGCAGAUUAGGUAGUUGGUGGGGUAAAGGCUCACCAAGCCGACGAUCUGUAGCUGGUCUGAGAGGACGACCAGCCACACUGGGACUGAGACACGGCCCAGACUCCUACGGGAGGCAGCAGUGGGGAAUUUUGGACAAUGGGCGCAAGCCUGAUCCAGCCAUUCCGCGUGCAGGAUGAAGGCCCUCGGGUUGUAAACUGCUUUUGUACGGAACGAAAAGGCUCUGGUUAAUACCUGGGGCUCAUGACGGUACCGUAAGAAUAAGCACCGGCUAACUACGUGCCAGCAGCCGCCGCAG